rnacentral:lncRNA from 1 species
ACGGGAAACCAGAAGGUAAAGAUUGAAAUCAAUUGAUAGAAGAAAGGCGCAAUUACAUUGUACAUAGACGCAUAGUUUUAAUGAACAACACAAGAAGGCGUAUGUAAUAUACAAAUAAAUUAAAAAAUAUAUCCCAGCAUCAUAGAAAAAGCCCAAGAGAUGUCGCUUUCAUAUAAUUCAGUUAGUCAUUCCAUACAGAAACAAUGGAGCCCAAUUUUUCUAACCUCUGAACUCUGCAAAAAAGAAUGCCUAAUUUUAUCCAAUACCCAGAACUCAAUAAAAAGAAUGCCUAAUUUUAAAAGCUUCCAAGCCACCGUCACAGAUCAGAUCUCAAUACCAUCACCAUCGUCACACACCACCAUCCCGCCGCCGAUUCACAACACAAUAAGAUCUGUAGUAGAACACAGAUCUAGAUCUGAAGAAAUCAUGCAACAUCUUUUGUAACUCUCUUUCGUGUAUCUAGGAAUGGAAAUUUAGUAAGGAAGGAUGAGGAGAGAGAAUAGAGGAAAAAGAUGGGUGAGAUCUGAAGUUUUUGAAGUUUGAAGUUUGAAUAGAAAUUUGAAGUUUUUCUUUUCUUUUCCAUGUCUUUUGUCCACGUUUCAGUUGUUUAGAAAUAAAUUAUCUGUUUGUAUCUCACUUUUUUUAACAGGAGGAACAUAGUUAACCC